GCAUAACGCGAAGAACCUUACCCACCUUUGACAUGGCAGGAAUCCUUCAGAGACGAAGGAGUGCUCGCAAGAGAGCCUGCACACAGGUGCUGCAUGGCUGUCGUCAGCUCGUGUCGUGAGAUGUUGGGUUAAGUCCCGCAACGAGCGCAACCCUUGCCAUCAGUUGCUACGAAAGGGCACUCUGAUGGGACUGCCGGUGACAAACCGGAGGAAGGUGGGGAUGACGUCAAGUCCUCAUGGCCCUUAUAGGUGGGGCUACACACGUCAUACAAUGGCCGGUACAAAGGGCAGCGAAGCCGCGAGGUGAAGCCAAUCCCAUAAAGCCGGUCGUAGUCCGGAUUGCACUCUGCAACUCGAGUGCAUGAAGUCGGAAUCGCUAGUAAUCGUGGAUCAGCAUGUCACGGUGAAUACGUUCCCGGGUCUUGCACACCGACCGGACGGUCGGGUGGGGG
rnacentral:rRNA from 1 species